AUCUACGGCCGUAUCACCCCAAACACGCCCUGUCUCAUCUGAUCUCAGAAGCUAAGCAGGAUCGGGUCUGGUUUAGAACUUGGAUGGGAGAAUUCAAUAUUGUUAUUCCAUGUUAGGGAAAUGACAACAGAGAUA
rnacentral:rRNA from 1 species